AUUGAACGCUGGCGGCAUGCUUUACACAUGCAAGUCGAACGGUAACAGGCCUUCGGGCGCUGACGAGUGGCGAACGGGUGAGUAAUGCAUCGGAACGUGCCCAGUCGUGGGGGAUAACGCAGCGAAAGCUGUGCUAAUACCGCAUACGAUCUGCGGAUGAAAGCGGGGGACCUUCGGGCCUCGCGCGAUUGGAGCGGCCGAUGUCAGAUUAGGUAGUGGGUGGGGUAAAGGCUCACCAAGCCAACGAUCUGUAGCUGGCCUGAGAGGACGACCAGCCACACUGGGACUGAGACACGGCCCAGACUCUUACGGGAGGCAGCAGUGGGGAAUUUUGAACAAUGGGCGCAAGCCUGAUCCAGCAAUGCCGCGUGCAGGAAGAAGGCCUUCGGGUUGUAAACUGCUUCUGUACGGAGCGAAAAGGCUCCCUCUAAUACAGGGGGCUCAUGACGGUACCGUAAGAAUAAGCACCGGCUAACUACGUGCCAGCCGCCGCGGUAACAC
rnacentral:rRNA from 1 species